AAAUAAGAAAUUUUUUAAUACAAAAACCCAUCCGCCCCGAGCAGCCACCGUUUCCUUGACUCCAAUCCCUAGCCCCACCCCACUGCCUAGAUUCAUCCCCAAAAACCCAAGCCUCAACACCACAUCCUCCGUGUCCACCACUGACGAAGAAUUGUAGGCUCUGCGAGAAGAGAAUGGGCAACUGAGAAACUACUAUGGAUUCAAUCAACUUCUUGACUCGAAUCAGAGCUCUAAAGCAGGAAUCUAAAAUCAAUUUCCUUUCAAGGUGGCCACAGGAAGUGAUUUGGAAGCAGCUGAAAUUCUCAUCAAUGUUGACCAUGAAGAACCAAGUUGGUGGGUUUGGGUAACGGAAGAUAUGAUUCCUGGCAAAGUUGAGGAAAUGAGUGGAAUUGACAAUUAAAGCUAUGUUCUUGUCAGUGGGGGAGAUGGCUGCCGUGCGGUAGAGGAAGAGGGAGAAGGGUGGGGUAUGCGUGUUGUGAGGGAAGGGGUUUGAUAUUUGUUAAUAAUCUUUUUAGUUUUUUUUAUAAUCAAUUUCUUAUGUUUUUAAUUGGUUUUAAUGUUUUUCCCUUAAGUCCAUAGACGUAAUUUUAUAAAGAGGUAAAUUGGUCUUUAAAAUUUACAAGAUUAGGUGGGUGAAGAAA